AGUAACACGUGGGAACGUACCCUUUGGUCUGGAACAACCCAGUGAAACUUGGGCUAAUACCGGAUAAGCCCUUACGGGGAAAGAUUUAUCGCCGAAGGAUCGGCCCGCGCCUGAUUAGCUAGUUGGUGGGGUAAUGGCCCACCAAGGCGACGAUCAGUAGCUGGUCUGAGAGGAUGAUCAGCCUCACUGGGACUGAGACACGGCCCAGACUCCUACGGGAGGCAGCAGUGGGGAAUAUUGGACAAUGGGCGCAAGCCUGAUCCAGCCAUGCCGCGUGGGUGAUGAAGGCCCUAGGGUUGUAAAGCCCUUUCGGCGGGGAAGAUAAUGACGGUACCCGCAGAAGAAGCCCCGGCUAACUUCGUGCCAGCAGCCGCGGUAAUACGAAGGGGGCUAGCGUCGCUCGGAAUCACUGGGCGUAAAGCGCACGUAGGCGGAUUGCUAAGUCAGGGGUGAAAUCCUGGAGCUC
rnacentral:rRNA from 1 species